rnacentral:rRNA from 1 species
GGAAGGAUCAUUAAUGAAUAACUAUGGCAUUGGUUGUAGCUGGCUUCUAGGAGCAUUGUGCACACAUGUCAUUUUUAUCUUUCUACCUGUGCACUUAAUGUAGAUCUGGAUAACUCUCUUGCUCUCACUGAGCAAAGGGGGGGGGAUGGCAAGGGUUGCCGUGUUGCCCAAGGGCUCCUGGCUCUCUUUGAAUUUUCCAGGUCUAUGUAUCUUACAUACCCCAAUUGAAUAAUAAAAGAAUGUAGUCAAAAUGGGGCUUUUAAGCCUUAUAAAACACAAUACAACUUUCAGCAACGGAUCUCUUGGCUCUCGCAUCGAUGAAGAACGCAGCGAAAUGCGAUAAGUAAUGUGAAUUGCAGAAUUCAGUGAAUCAUCGAAUCUUUGAACGCACCUUGCGCUCCUUGGUAUUCCGAGGAGCAUGCCUGUUUGAGUGUCAUUAAAUUCUCAACUUUACCAGUUUUGUUAUAAGACUGUGUGAAGCUUGGAUUGUGGGGGUUUGUGCAGAGAAACUGUGUCAAAGCAGAACUGCUCUCCUUAAAUAAAUUAGCGAGUUCAAACUGGGCUCCAUCUAUUGGUGUGAUAAUUAUCUAUGCCAUGGAUUGGGCUUAGACUUGCUUCUAGCUGUCUGCAAGGACAAUAUUUUGACAAUUUGACCUCAA